GACGAACCGUGCGAACGUUAUUCGGAAUCACUGGGCUUAAAGCGCGUGUAGGCGGUCUGUCGCGUCGAAUGUGAAAACCCGGGGCUCAACCCCGGGCCUGCAUUCGAUACGGGCAGACUAGAGUUCGGUAGGGGAGUCUGGAAUUCCUGGUGUAGCGGUGAAAUGCGCAGAUAUCAGGAGGAACACCGGUGGCGAAGGCGGGACUCUGGGCCGAUACUGACGCUGAGGAGCGAAAGCGUGGGGAGCAAACAGG
rnacentral:rRNA from 1 species